rnacentral:rRNA from 1 species
UACGGAGGGUGCAAGCGUUAUCCGGAUUCACUGGGUUUAAAGGGUGCGUAGGUGGGCAAGUAAGUCAGUGGUGAAGUCUCCGGGCUUAACCCGGAAACUGCCAUUGAUACUAUUUGUCUUGAAUACUGUGGAGGUCAGCGGAAUAUGUCAUGUAGCGGUGAAAUGCUUAGAUAUGACAUAGAACACCAAUUGCGAAGGCAGCUGGCUGGAACGGUACUGACGCUGAGGCGCGAAAGCGUGGGGAGCGAACAGG